CCGACAGCCGUUGGGAUCCAACGCGCAUGCGCGCCGCCGGCUGCAAAUUCGGGGAAUGGCCCUAAAUCGAGGAGAAAAGAUGAGGGCACCUAGGGAGCGUCUGUAAAUGAAAAACGAAUGAUUCUGACAACGCCACUAAACCAAGGGUAUUGCAAGUAAAGGAUUUGCAAGUGGUAAACUCAAACCAAACCACAUCAAGUUUUGACGGUCAUUUGAUGUAUUGAAACCUGAAUAUCAUCGAAUAUAAAAGAUUUGCAUGUUCUAUGGAGAAGAUUUCAACCCUGUCUGGCUGGUUUAAAAAAAACAAGACAAGUACAUAUCCAGAUAUUGCCUGACCUGUGUACAACGUUUCCACCAUUCCCAAUCUACAGGAUGUCUCUGGGUAACCAACAGAUUCCAAUUUUACCAACUUCCAUAAGUUGAUUUUACCCUUAAAUUAGAAAAGACACAAAAAUCAUUUAAUAUUGGCAACUAUGCCUCUACAAUAUUGUCAUGAAUGGCAUCAAAAGCACAGAAGACAUAAGAAAUGACAAUUACUAAAAGCGGAAAGAAGAGGCUAGUUAGAACGUCCGUAGGAACGUAUGUACGUUGGACCUUUGAAUUCAAUAAUAUUAUGGGGGCUCGUUCGUAUAACCCUAAACCGGGUGUUCGUAGCCCGGUAACCCGACACACCACUGGCUGCGAUUCCUUUAUUACUGCCCUGGUUUAUUGCUCCAAAUCAUCCCCGUUGGCCGCAUUGAAUUAAUCCAUUUUACUAACACAUUUUGCAAUGUUUAAUCCCGCCAAGAGUUUCAUCUGUUGACAGCCACGUUGCAAAAUUCAGUAUUUUCUUAAGUUUGAGACAAUGCGGGAGAUCCGGGCGCAGCACUGCGAACUCCAGGACACUACGCCCGCCCUACCCCCGACCCUUCCAGUGAUCGGAGGACCACGAGCCUUCCAGCUUCCUAUUGGUUUAUACCGUACGCCCAUCACCCGAGCAUCGGGCGCCUGAGCAUGCGCAGACUGCGACGACAAGCAAGCACGUAGCAGAGUGUUCUGGGGGCAGCCCACAAGUGUCGCCACGCUUCCGGCACCAACAUAGCACGUCCACAACUUCCUAACCUGUACGUCUUUGGAAUGUGGGAGGAAACCGGAGAACCCGGAGGAAACCCAGGCAGACACAGGGAGAACGUACAAACUCCUUACAGACAGAUGCUGAAUUUCAACCCGGGUCGCUAGUGCUGUAAAGCAUUACGCCAACCGUUACACUACUGUGCCUGCAGCAGGAGUACAGCCGGGCUAUCGGGAAAUAAAGAAGGGGCAAUGGGACCAAUAGGAUUGAGCUGGCAUGGACACAAUGGGCCAAAUGGCCUUCUGCAUUACAGGAAGUAAAUGGAGACUGCUUUCUGAAUUCAGUCUUGGAAUACCUAACUCUAUUUUUACAUUGUUUGGGACUCCCACUGACAGACAUGAUGAGCAUGUAUUUCUGCACUGUUACAGCCUUCAGAAAGGUUUCCUGCAGGCUCCGGAGUUACGGUAGGACAAUGGUGGAUACCUGGGGGUCACGCAGUAUUGUGUGGGAGCUGAUCACUGAGCAUAUGGUGUGUGGUUUAGUAUGACAUCGGGGUGGGGUUGGGGUGGUGGAGUUAGUCGCUGGUAGGGGUGGCCAACACAGGAUGCCCCUUUCUCUGACCUGGAGGGAGAUGGGUCCAAUGCCCAGAUAUCUGGCCGUGAGUGAAGUCCUUAGUUCGGGAGGUCUGGCUUGGCGAUUUCAUUGGGUUGCUCCACUGGUGGACAAGAAAGCAGGUAGUUUGGGGCUGGAAGGAAGGAACUCUGCUUCUUCUUGCCCAUGGACAGUGCUUAAAGGUACUUAACUCUCCCAUGAAGCAGACCAUUCCUCCUCGGUUAAGGCCAGAAUUCUGCAUCAAUUGCCAGCAGUUAUCUCUUUGUCCAGCCCGCCUCUGAUUGGUUGCGCACACCCAGCACCCUAUUUCCAUCUUACUGUUGUCAAACUCAGAAGUUGGCAAGUUCAUUCCCAGAUUUAAGACCAUCACGAGGUGAUCCACUGAUUUUCACUUGAGACAGUUUCGUACAAUGAUCGCAGAACCCAACACAGUACAGCACAGGGACAGGUCAUUUGGCCCAUUGCGUCUGUGCUGAGCAUGAUGCCAAUUUAAACUGCACGCCUGCCUGCACAUGGUCUCUAUCCCUGUGAUGGAUAUUCACUAUCCAGGCCCAAAAGGCCUGGAUACUAAACUCAACUUUUUAGCAAGUCACUGUCCAGCUUCAGGAGGCUCAUUGCUUAUCUCAGCUGCUUAGCACAGCAGAAGAAACUGUGUAAGAUUCAAGAUGUUUAUUGUUAAAUAAGUUGAAUCUUUAACUAGUACUAUUUACCCAUCCUUUUGAGAAACAAUACUGUCCAUGGCUCCAGCUGUCUGACCUGAUCAAAGCAGUUGUUUAAACAUCACAUGCAGAUGAGGUCCUCACUAGAUGACUGGCAAAAAAAACCCGAUAUAAAUAUCAGAAGGCAGUAAAGGUGGGGAGGAGUUACAGAGAUGAAGACAUGGAAUCCACUCCUCAGCCUCGACCCGAGAAGGAUCUCUUCCCAGAGCCGUCUUUCUGCGACGAACGACUUGUUCCUCUGCAACUCAUUGGUAUGUUUGUCUAGUUUGUAGGAAUUGUACUUGUGUUUGGAAAUCCUUUGUAGAAUUAUAACCUCUGUUCGAAUUUCA